CUUUUAUUCCUCGUUUAACACGCCGCUUAUGCCUCGUGGAUUAUCAAUGGAUAACGAUCACGUUGCAUCACAGACAGAAAAAUAUUUCUUUCAUUUUAUCGAGACCAAGAUAUUUCUCGUUUCUUUGUUAAGAGACAACGUGUGUAUAUAUUGACUCACCCUGACGGAGCAGCAGAUAUUCAAAAAAGAAGAAAAAAAAGAAAAGAAAAGAAAAGGAGAAAUAGAAGAAAGAGAGAGAGAGAGAGAGAGAGAGAGAGAAAAGAGAAAAG